rnacentral:tmRNA from 1 species
GGGGAUGCCAGGCAUAGACAGUAGGCCUUUUGUCAUUGAUGCAUACCGAGCAUGAACGAAAUCUCGUAAAACUUCGUUCAAAUGUUAAUUGCAAAAUUAGCUUCUAAGGUGAAAAACGCAGUUUCUCCAUACUUCGGUAUGAAUGACUUCGCUUUCGCUUCGGUUUCCGCUUACGCGUAACCGAUGUCUCUCUGAUAGACUUCCGAUAUAUCAGAACAGGCAUAAUAUCAUCGGGAUAGCUCCGACGAUCGUUCCGAUGUCGGAACAAAACCAAGGAACUCGGUUAAAAAAUAUUUGGCGCGUUUCUUAAUUUUUUAAUUUAAACCAAAAAGCGCGCUAUGUAUGUAGACUUCUUGACAACAACCUUCUGCACGGGGAUUCGAUUUCCCCCAUCUCCACAA